CUCGUAAGUAAACUGAAGUGGCGAAGGGCAUUGACAGGUUGGCUCGGUCCAUUUUAAAAUUCAAAAUUCACACUCUAAAACGAUCUCAUUUCUCAGAAUAAUCCUUUUCAAAGCCCCUCCACUUCUCCAACUUCAUCGAAUCCCUUCAUUUCUUCAAUCUGAACAUAAAUUUUGUCUUCCUAUCGCCUUGGAUUUCCAUACUUUGUCAAGGGGAGAGCUCCAAGUCCUUUGUAAGACGAGUAAGAUUCCGGCUAAUAUCACCAAUGUCGCCAUGACCGACGCUCUUACAGCUUCAAUCCUUAAUUUAGAUAACAAAGUUAGAAGAAAGGAAGUUCUGGGGAGUAUGUGUGACCAGAGGGCUAGGAUGCUUCAGGAUCAAAUUAGUGUCAUUGUCAACCAUGCCUUGCUUUGGCCAUUCUCAUUUCCACUCUCCACUACUCCAAAAAUGUCUCAGCAAAUGAACAGAAAUUACCUUGAUGUCUCAAUUUAAGAGAGGCCGUGAAGUUUUCUUCUUCGUAUUGCUUAAAAAUGCUCGCCGUGCUCAAAAUCGUUGGAUGGUGCUUGAAAACCCAUUAAAGUGUUUUUUCUUCUUCAUGACAAGAAUCUGGAAGGUAGCUGCAGCACAACAUGCUAAUUUAGAUGUGAAAUGUUUCUUUGAAGAUAAAAAGUAAAUGAAGCUUCCAAAGAUGAUGGAUGGAGAUUUCUACUGAGAAAAUAUAUAAAAAUUUGUCGUUGUAAAAGACUUCACCAGCUUUCCCUCUCAGUUACCGUCAGUUUAGAGCUCUUUCAUUCCCUAUUCCUAAAUCCAGUGGAAAGGAAUAUAGAUUGAAACCAUUGAGCGAUGCCUUUCAUGAGCAGGGAACCUUCCUGCUUGGACCAGGAUUUCGAGUUUCAAGCGCAAGGCGAUUCUAGUCUUGUACAGAUUCCAGGAUAGAUGAAGCGUUGAUCGGCAGUUGACCGCAACGGUAAUAUUUGGAUAUAAAAAGCCAUAAAAGGGGGGUUGGGAGUUGGAACCAAAUUAUGCUGAACAAAUUAAGCAAACACGACCAUGGGGAUAUUCAACCUAACCAGCUUUCCCUCAGAGAUGAGUGUUGAUCGACAAUUGACCGCAACGGUAAUAGUUGGAUAUAAAAAGCCAUAGAAGGGGGUAAGUCUUCGCUUAUGCUUCUAUUAGGAGGGUUUUCAUUAUUUUUGUCCUCUUGAAUUCAACAUCAUCAGGUUAGUAAAUAUUUUUCUCCUCUUCAAUUAAUUACUGAUGUCUUAUCGUCAUCUCUGCUUUAGUUAUUUUAAUCUUUGUUGUUAUAGUUUUCAUGUCAACUUCCUUUCCAACUUUUUUCUCUAAUUAAUUUUUUUACCUUUUCUUCUUUGAUUAAUUAGAGUGGGAAGUUGGAACCAAAUUAUGUCGAACAAAUUAAGAAAACAUGAUCAUGGUAAGGAACCUCUAAUUGUGAAUUGGGAAGUGAAUUAACAAAUCCUACCCUUUGUUACCUUCAUGUCCCUUGCUUUAGGGACGUACAACCGAUUACCCUUUGUUACCAAUAAGUCCUCCUCGACCCAAAACUGUCUUGUUUUACCCGUUUUAGCUAACUUCAUGGCAUUCUGAGUGGCAGGAUCUUUCUGCAAGAACUCUCUCAAGAUAUCUUUAACUGACCCUGUCAAUCUUACUCGUUUGGAGGUAAGCUAACAUGCACAUGGCCGCAUGUUCAUUUUUCCUGACUCAGGGCAUCAGCAGCCCGACUGCUUGACCCUUUCUUAUUUUCUAACUUAAAAUCAAACUCGACCAGAAAUUCCUGCCAUCUUGCUUGCUUUAAAGUCAACUUUGGCUGAGUAAAGAAGUGGCAGGUCGCACUGUUUACCGUCUUCACCAUAAAUGACGAACCUGGUAGGUAUUGUCUCUAAGCCCUCAAGCAAUGUACUACUGCGGGCAUUUCUUUUUUAGACACGGUAUAUCUCUUCUCAGCUGGAUUCAACUUCAACUUUCAUAUGCGAUCGGGUGUCGAUUAUGUAGGAGAACACCACCCAACGCAUAAUCAGACGCAUUUUUCUCGACCUCGAAAGGUUUGGUCACAUCAGCAAUUCCCAGAACUGGCCCCUUCAUCAUGGCUUGCUUCAGGCCAUCAAAGGCGACUUGACGCUCGAGUGUCCAGCCCCAUCGAACAUCCUUUUUCAGUAACUUAGUCAGCGAACUUGCUCGUUUGGAGAAUCCAUCCAUAAUAUCGCUUAUAAUAAUUUGCUCACCCGAGGAAGGGGCAUAAUUUCGAGACUGAUUUUGGUAUUGCCCAAUCAUGUAUCGCAACAAUCUUUCCUUCUUCCAUCCAAUUCGACCACACUCUAUCACAUGGCCCAAGAAGUUUAUCCGCUCUUGCGUAAAGGAACAUUUUUCUCUCUUGACCCAGUUGGUUCUCCUUCAAUUUCUGAAAAUCCUUUUAAAGAUGGUCCCUGUGUUCCUCCAUGGUUGAGUUAUAGACCAUUCUAUCAUUCAGGUAGACCACUAUAUAGUUGUCAAGAUAUUCAUGGAAGACCUAUUUCAUCAAUUUUCAAAAGGUUGCAGAGGCAUUGGUAAGACCAAAUGGCAUUACGAGGAACUCAAACACUACAUAUCUGGUGACAUAGGUUGUCUUAGGCUCAUCUCCCUAUGAAAUUUUUACUUGGUAAUAUCUCGAUCGCAGGUCUAACAUUGAAUAAUACUUUGCUCCAUGUAAGCGGUUAAACAAGUUAGUGAUUAUGGAAAGUGGAUAUUUGUUGCAAACCUGAGUUUGUUCAAGGCAUGAUAGUCGAUACACAAUCGUAAAUUUCCAUCCUUCUUCUGGAAAAGAAUUGGGCCCUAUACGGAGCUUUUGCAGGCUUAAUAAACCAUGCAUUCAAUAACUCAUCUAAUUGUUUUCAAAGUUCAGCUAACUUUGAAGGCGCUAUACAAUAAGCAUUCUUCAUAGGCGAUUUUGCCUCUGACAAUAACUCGAUCUCAUGAUCAAUCAUCUUUCGACGUAGCAAAGACUUGGGCAAACUGUAGGGCAUCACGUCACGAUACUUCUCUAGGACACACAGAAUGUCCUUUAGGGACUGUCUCCUCCGAGUUCUUCAACAAAUCAAGUGGGAUGACCAUAAACGAUGGUUUGUCUUGAGCGAGACCCUUCUUUAAUUGCAUGAUCGAAAUCAUUUUCAAUCCGUUAGGCUGACGAAUGUUGGUCUGUAAAACAGUGGGAGCAGAUCUAAAACAUUUGGCUAAAGGCAUUGGGAUCACCUGAUGUUCGAGUAGAAACUCCAUUCCUAGUACCACAUCAAAGUCAUCCAUUUUUACCACCACAAAAUCUACGAGGCCGUUCCAUCUCCCCAACCUUAUCACCAUUCGUUUCACUAGUUUGACGAUAGAUAGGGCCAAAGAAUUCACGGCUUUAAUUCUCCCUAUAUCUUUUUGUCAAUGAAGAUUUAAUCUUCAAGCUUCUGCCUUUAUUAUAAAAUUGUGGAAUGCACCAGAAUCAACCAUAGUACUCUUGGUCAGUUUCUGGUUGAUCCAGGUGUCAACAUACAUUAAGCCCAUUUCCAUUGGUGUACUUAUCUCCAAUACCUUCUUUUGAAGAGACAACAAGAAUUUUAAGGCCCCCAUUCGAGGGUUAUCACCUUCCUCUGUCUAGUCCAUUCCCUCUUGGUUUGUUCCAGUUUAUUGUCUGAAUCUGAGGCUAAAAAGGCUUGGAAGAAAUUGAAGCCAGUUUUGUUCGAACAUACUCUAGUCAAGUGUAGUCCCUUACAUGUGAAACAACGAAGAGGACGAUUAGACACAUUUUGGUUAUUUGGUCCUCACUAGGUGUUUUCUGUAUUCGGUUGGUAGGGCUUGCGAUCUCCAUUAGGACGUUUGUCUCCCCCAGCAGUUCUGGGAGAACUCAGGCGGUUGUUCUUAUUUCUCCUAGACGAAGAGCUUAGAUGACGUCUCACAUCCCGAGAGUCAUUAUACACGUCAAACAACCGUUCGACCGCAGCGUACGCUGAUGAGAGGUCUUGAACCCUUUGUUCAUAUAAUUUUGUCUUUGCCCAUGGUUUCAGCCUUUUGACGAAAUUGAAAACUUUGUCUUUCUCUAACAUAUCGCGUAUGUCAAACAUCAGUCCUGCAAACUAUCUUAUAUACUCAACUAUACUGUCGGUGUGUUUCAGUUUACACAAUUUUUGCUGAGCGAAGAUUUCAACAUUCUCAGGGAAGAAUUGCAAGUGGAGUUCUUUCUUCAAAGCAUCCUAAUUGUCUAUUGUGCAACGUCUUUCUUGAAUGUCAACAUACUUGGAUCUCUACCAUAACUUGGCGUCCUUAGAUAGAUGCAUCGUCACCAAGAUGUCUUAUGAUUCUUGGCGUGGUUGUCCGUGGUGAUACAAGAUGUCUUACGAUUGCUUCUUGCUUGGUCGAAGGGUUUGGUUGGAAUUGGUGAAAUGUUGUGCCCGUACGUUGGGUGGGGAGUGAGAGCGGGAUGUUGAGUUGAUGAACUCAGAUGGGCUUGCUAGGAUAAGCUUGCACCUCGUUGUGGGCGUAGUCUGGGUGUGCUUGUCUGUGGUGAUACAAAAUGUCUUGCGAUUGCUUCUUGCUUGGUGGAAGGGUUUGGUUGGAAUUGAUGGAAUGUCGGGACCUUACGUUGGGCGGGGAAUGAGAGUGGGAUGUUAAGUUAACGUACUCGGAAGAGCUUGCUUGGAUAAUGCUUGCACUUCAUUGUGGGCGUAUUCUCGGUGUGCUUGUCCCUUGCGAUACAAGAUGUCUUACGAUUGCUUUCUACUUGGUGGAAGGGUUUGGCCGAAAUUGACGGGCUGUCGGGCCCCUAUGUCGGGCGGGGAGUGAGAGCGGGAUGUCGAUUUAAUGUAUUCAGGUGGGCUUGUUUGGAUAAUGGUUGCGCACCUUAUUGUGUGUGUAUUCUUGACCUUGUUCCUCACGAUAUAAGAUGUCUUACUAUUGCUUCUUGCUUGGUUGAAGGUUUAGUCAAAAUUGAUGGAAUGCUGUGCCCCUUUGUCGGGUGGGGAGUGAGAGUAAGAUGUCGAGUUGAUGUACUCUGAUGGGCUUGCCUGGAUAUUGCUUGCACCUCGUUGUGGGAGUAGUCGGGUGUGCUUGUCCGUGGCGAUACAAAAUGUCUUGCGAUUGCUUCUUGCUUGGUGAAAGGGUUUGGUCAAAAUUGAUGGAAUGAUGGGACCUUACGUUAGGUAGGGAGAGAGUGGGAUGUUGAGUUGAUGUACUCGGAAGGGCUUGCUUGGAUAAUGCUUGCACCUCGUUAUGGGCAUAUUCUUUGCUUGCUUGUCCGUGGCGAUACAAGAUAUCUUACGAUUGCUUCCUGCUUGGUGGAAGGGUUUCAUCGAAAUUGACGGGAUGCCAGGCCUCUACGCCGGGCAGGGAGUGAGAGCGAGACAUCGAGUUGAUGAACUCAUAUGGGCUUGCUUGGAUAAUGCUUGCACCUCGUCGUGGGCAUAUUCUUUGCUUGCUUGUCCGUGGCAAUACAAGAUAUCUUACGAUUGCUUCCUGCUUGGUGGAAGGGUUUCAUUGAAAUUGACGGGAUGCCAGGCCUCUACGUCGGGCGGGGAGUGAGAGCGAGAUAUCGAGUUGAUGAACUCAUAUGGGCUUGCUUGGAAAAUUCUUGCACCUCGUUAUGGGUGUAUUCUCGGCGUGCUUGUUCGUUGCAAUAAAAGAUGUCUUGCGAUUGCUUUUUCCUUGGUGGAAGUGUUUAGUAAGAAUUGACGGAAUGCCGGGCCCAUAUGUUGGGCAGGGAAUGAGAGCGGGAUGUUGAGUUGAUGAACUCGGAUGGGUUUGCUUGGAUAAUGCUUGCCUCUUGUUGUGGGCGUAGUCUGUGUGUGCUUGUCCGUGGCGAUACAAGAGAUCUUGCGAUUGCUUUUUUCUUGGUGGAAGCAUUUGACGGAAUGCUGGGCCCCUCCUUCAGGCAGGGAGUGAGAGUGGGAUAUCGUGUUGAUGAACACGGAUGGGCUUGCUUGGAUAAUGCUUGCACCAAGUUGUGGGCGUAGUUUGGGUGUGGUUGUUCGUGGCGAUUCAAGAUGUCUUGCGAUUGCUUCUUGCUUGGUGGAAGGGUUUGGUUUGAAUUGAUGGAAUGCCAUGACCCUACGUUGGACGGAGAGUAAGAGCGGGAUGUUGAGUUGAUGGACUCGGAUGGGCUUGCUCGAAUAAUGCUUACUCCUCGAUGUGGGCGUAUUCUCGACCUGCUUGUUUGUGGCGAUAAAAGAGAUCUUUUUAUUGCUUCUUGUUUGGUGGAAGGGUUUGAUUCGAAUCGACAGAAUGCUGGACCCUUACGACAGGAAGGGAGUGAGCGGGAUGUCGAGUUGAUGUACUCGGAUUGGCUUGCUUGGAUAAUGCUUGCACCUCGUUGUGGGCAUAGUCUAGGUGUACUUAUCCAUGGCGAUACAUGAUGUCUUGUGAUUGCUUUUUGCUUGGUGGAAGGGUUAGGUUGGAAUUGAUUGAAUGUCGGGCCCCUUUGUCGGAAAUGGAGUGAGCGUGGGAUGUCAAGUUGAUGUACUCGGAUGGCCUUGCUUGGAUAAUGCUUGCUUACCUCGUUGUGGGCGUAUUCUCGCAUCCUUGUUUGUGGCGAUACCAGAGAUCUUGCGAUUGCUUCUUGCUUGGAGGAAUGGUUUGACCCAAAUUAACAGAAUGCUGGGCCCCUACAUUAGGCGGGUUGUGAGCAGGAUGUCGAGUUGAUGUACUCGGAUGGGUUUGCUUGGAUAAUGCUUGCACCUCGUUGUGGUAGUAUUCUCGAUGUGCUUGUCCGUGGCGAUAUAAGAUGUGUUACGAUUGCUUCUUGCUUGGUGGAAGGGUUUGGUCGAAAUUGACGAGAUACCGGGCCCCUAUGUCGGGCGGGGAGUGAGAGUGGGAUGUCGAGUUGAUGUACUCGGAUGAGAUUGUUUGGAUAAUGCUUGCACCUCGUUGUGAGAGUAAUUUGAAAGUGCUUGUUCGUACAAUACUAGUCUUGUGAUUGCUUCUUGCUUGGUGGAAGGGUUUGGUUGGAAUGGAUGGAAUACCGGACCCCUACAUCGGGUGGGGAGUGAGAGCGGGAUGUCGAUUUGAUAAACUCGGAUGGGCUUGCUUGGAUAAUGCUUGCAUCUCGUUGUGGGCGUAUUCUCAGCGUGCUUGUCCGUGGCGAUAGAAGAUGUCUUGCAAUUGCUUCUUGGUUGGUGGAAGGGUUUGGUUGGAGUUGAUGGAAUGUAGGGCCCCUACAUCGGGCGGGGAGUGAGUGGGAUGUUGAGUUGAUGUACUCGGAUGAGAUUGCUUGGAUAAUGCUUGCACCUCGUUGUGAGAGUAAUUUGAAAGUGCUUGUUCGUACAAUACUAGUCUUGUGAUUGCUUCUUGCUUGGUGGAAGGGUUUGGUUUUAAUUGAUGGAAUGCCGGGCCCCUACGUCGGGCGGGGAGUGAGGUCGAGAUGUCGAGUUGAUGAACUAGGAUGGCCUUGCUUUGAUAAUGCUUGUACCUAAUUGUGGCCGUAUUCUCGACAUUCUUGCCGUCCUACGAUUGCUUUUUAGUUGGUGGAACGGUUUGGUUUGAAUUGACGGAAUGCUGGGCCCCUACAUUGGGCGGGGAGUGAGAGUGAGAUUUCGAGUUGAUGCACUUGGAAGGGCUUGCUUGGAUAAUGCUUGCACCUCGUUGUGGGCGUAUUCUCGGUGUGCUUGUUCGUGUCGAUACAAGAUAUCUUACUAUUGCGACCAUCUUGGUGGAAGGGUUUGUCGGAAUUGACGAGUUGUCAGGUCCGUAUGUUGGGGUGGGAGUGAGAGUAGGAUUUCGAGUUAAUGUAAACGGAUGGGUUUUUUUGGAUAAUGGUUGCGCACUUCGUUGUAGGCAUAUUCUUGACGUUCUUGUCUGUUGUAAUAUAAGACGUCUUACGAUUGCUUCUUGCUUUGUUCAAGGUUUGGUCAGAAUUGACGGAAUACUGUACCCCUACAUCUGGUGGGGAGUGAGAGUGGGAUGUCAAGUUAAUGUACUCGGAUGGGCUUGCUUGGAUAUUGCUUGCACCUCGUUGUGGGAGUAGUCGGGUGUGCUUGUUCGUGGCGAUACAAAAUGUCUUGCAAUUGCUUUUUGCUUGGUGAAAGGGUUUGGUCUGAAUUGAUGGAAUGCCGGGACCCUGUGUCAGGCGGGAAGUGAGAGUGGGAUGUUGAGUUGAUGUACUCGGAAGGGCUUGCUUGGAUAAUGCUUGGACCUCGUUGUGGGCAUAUUCUCGGCUUGCUUGUCCGUGGCGAUAUAAGAUAUCUUACCAUUGCUUCCUACUUGGUGGAAGGGUUUUGUCAGAAUUGACGGGAUGCCAGGCCCCUUUGUCAGGCAGAGAGUGAGAGCGGGAUGUCGAGUUGAUGAACUCAGAUGGGCUUGCUUGGAUAAUGCUUCCACCUCGUGGUGAGCGUGUUCUCGGCGUACUUGUCCGUGGCGAUACAAGAUGUCUUGCGAUUGAUUCUUGCUUGGUGGUAGGGUUUGGUUGGAAUUGAUGGAAUUCUGGUCCCCUUCGUCAGGAGGAGAGUGAGAGCAUGAUGUCGAGUUGAUGUACUCGGAUAGGCUUGCUUGGAUAAUGCUUGCACCUCGUUAUGGCUGUAUUCUCGGCGUCCUUGUCCAUGGAGAUACAAGAUGUCUUGCAAUUGCUUCUUGUUUGGUGGAAGGGUUUGGUUGGAAUGGAUGGAGUAUCGGACCCCUACAUCGGGUGGGGAGUGAGAGCGGGAUGUCGAUUUGAUGAACUUGGAUGGGCUUGCUUGGAUAAUGCUUGCAUCUCGUUGUGAACGUAUUCUCAGCGUGCUUGUCCGUGGUGAUAAAAGAUGUCUUGGAAUUGCUUCUUGGUUGGUGGAAGGGUUUGGUUGGAGUUGAUGGAAUGUAGGGCCCGUACAUCGGGCGGGGAGUGAGUGGGAUGUCGAGUUGAUGUACUUGGACGGGCGUGCUUGGAUAAUUCUUGAACUACGUUGUGAGCAUAGUCUAGGCGUGCUUGUCCUUGGUGAUACGAAAUGUCUUGUUGAUUGCUUCUUGCUUGGUGGAACGAUUUGGUCGGUUCCCCUCAUGCCCCUACGUUGAGUGGGGAUAUAGAGUGGGAUGUGCGGUUCUGGUGGGGGAUCAGCUUGCUUGGAUAAUGCUUGCACAUCAUUGCAACAUGUUCCCGGUGUGCUUACCUCUGUCAAAGAUUGAACGUGCUGCGAUCGAUCCCCGUUUGGGGAAGGGCUCGCCCAAUAACAAUGAAAGUGUUUCGGUUGCAAUGUUCACGUGGGUUACACAAUGCUCAGGUUCAGUGUGCACGACUUUUUAUGCUCGGGCUCGUGUGAUGACUCUGUGGCACUGCUUGCUUGCUUUAAUGCAGACAGCCAAGCGUUGCAUACGGCGCGUGAGUGGUGAUUCGAUAGUUUUUGUUGGCAGGCUUGUUGCUCAGCAUCGAACUGUCACCUCGACUCCUCCUCAUUGACGUGCCAUAAACAAAGUUUGAGUUUAAGCUUUAGCAAUUGAUCGGUUCUUGCAUCGGUACCUCACAUGAUGGAAGCGUUGCAUCUUGUUUGGCCCCUUUCUGUCGGCAUCCGUCUUCGGGUGGACGAUGAACCCUAUAGCCCGCGUCUCGUUUCACCUAGACAUCUUUAGUUGUCAUUGUGACCUACAUCAUCGAUGCACGCUCUCUCGGAUGCAAUGCAUUUAGUGGCAUGAUAUGCUCGGAAAGUCCCUUAAAAUGUGUUGCCUUUGCUCAUUGCUCGAAUGAAUGAUGCUGGCUCCUUGCGUUGCUCCAACGCCAUACGCUGCUAGCAUGCAUGUGGGCUGCAACAUCGUGUUGGAAUUCUACCCGGUUGAUCCUGCCAGUAGUCAUAUGCUUGUCUCAAAGAUUAAGCCAUGCAUGUGUAAGUAUGAACUAAUUCAGACUGUGAAAAUGCCAAUGACUCAUAAAUCAGUUAUAGUUUGUUUAAUGGUAUCUGCUACUCGAAUAAUCGUAGUAAUUCUAGAGCUAAUACGUGUAACAAACCCCAACUUCUGGAAGGGAUUCAUUUAUUAAAUAAAAGGUCGACGCGGGCUUUGCCUGUUGCUAUGAUGAUUCAUGAUAACUCAACGGUUCGCACGAUGCAUCAUUCAAAUUUCUGCCCUAUCAACAUUUGAUGGUAGGAUAGUGGCCUACUAUGGUGGUGACAGAUGAUGGAGAAUUAGGGUUCGAUUUCAAAGAGGGAGCUUGAGAAUCGGCUACCACAUCCAAGGAAGGCUGCAGGCACGCAAAUUACCAAUCCUAACACGGAGAGGUAGUGACAAUAAAUAACAAUGCCGGGCUCUUCGAGUCUAGUAAUUGGAAUGAGUACAAUCUAAAGCCCUUAACGAGAUCAAUUGGAGGGCAAGUUUGGUGCCAGCAGUCGCAGUAAUUCCAACUCCAAUAGUGUAUCGUAAGCAAAGAUGUCUUGUUGGGUCCUUUCUAAGGUCUUUAGGAAGAUUAUUGAGAAUGUUAGCAACAUCAACACCUCUAGUCUUCCAUUAUGGGUAGACCUAACAUUAAGAGGUUCCAGCCAACACCGCCGGCGCAUAUAUUGAGAAAUAACAUCCUCCAACCGUUGCCUUAUUGAGUCAAUUCUCCAACCACCACUGUCCAACUUUGGAACGUCCCAACCGUUGCUGUUCGAUUUUUUUCCUUGCUCCCUCAUCCAUCUAGUUCUCUUUUUAUUCCUAUAGUACUUUUUGCUUGUUUUUUCAUUUUAUCGCUUAUGUUUUAUAAUGUUGGAAUUUGACAUAUAAAUGCUAAAGUCUAUCAAACAAGCCACUGCUAACCUUUCAUUUUAUUUCUCCAUCUAAUUUGCGAACUUUUUUUUUUUUGGGAAGAUUUGGAUUAUGCUUGCAAAGGAUUUGAUUCAAAAAUUGUCUUUAGAGAGAUAUAUAGUGUUAGAAAUAUAGGAUACAACUACACAUAUUUAAUUCAAAUUCUACCACCGCUAGUACUCAAGCUUAAUGUAAUCAAAUAGGCAUAGUGAGCAUGACUAAAUCAUGUGGAUGUAGAAGCACACAUUUACACAUCUGGUUACUUGAGCAAAGCGUCACAUAUUUUGAUUUGGUCGUGUGGUGCCUUGGGCUUGAGUCGCUUAACACUGAGUUGAUAAAAGAUGCCCUUGUACGUAGUGUAAACUCCAAUAGUGUGAGACUAUAUUGAGUAGAUGAUUGGAUUUGAGUUUAUCGAGUCUGCCAUCCACGCCUGCAGGGAACUAGGCUGGACGAGUUAAGUAAAGUGUCUUGUUUCAGUUUCAUAGGGCUAACACUAAAUGAGCUGAAAUUCUUAGACACUGGGUGAUUCUUUCUUCUCCCCUCAUUUUUCUUUAGGGGUACUGUCAUACUUUUUGUCGACCAUGUGGUACAAUUGUAUCUUGAGUAGUUUGAUGUAAUUCCAGCGGUAAAGGUUUCAUAUGUGUUUACGGUUCUUGUAUGUGUUCUUGGAUGCUUUCGAUUGAUAACCAUGUUGUAGAAAAAAUCCUCCUACCCAUGAGAAUGUCAAGACAUAUUUGAAUUUAUGUUCAAGUAGUAGGUUUGAGCACCUUUUUGUUUCGGUUUGGCUUGGGCAACUUCUUGGCCUGGUUUCUUAGCGUCUUCUUAAUAUUGAUAAAUGAAGGCAUGUCGUUUUACAAUAAUAAAAAGGAGUUAUAGGAAAGCUGAUUAGCAUGUAGAAUAAGUAGUCACUAUUGCCAUUAUGGAAAAAUAAUUAGUGCAUCAGUUCCUCUAUUUUAUUCCUGUUUUCUGUGAAUAAUUCUGUAAUUGAUAUCCUUUGAAUAAAUUUUAAUGUUGAGUUUUGGUCGGGCAGAAGUUAAAUGUUUGUCUUGCCUUUGUAAGAAGGUCUGAAUUAUGAGGUUGUCGCUCCAUGCAUGAUGGCCACUGAUCUAUGUUUGCUUUGACCUUUUGGAGGCCUUGAAUCAACUAGAAGAGGAGCUGAAAGGUAACAUCAAGAAACUGAGUUCUUUCGACAAGUAUAAGCAAGAAGUCCUUCUCGAGCAUCUUAAUUGGUCUCCUAUGCACAAAGAUGUCAAUUUCUGGCGAGAAAACAUUACAAGCUUUGAAGAGAAUGACUUGAAGAUAUUGAAGGUCCUAAUCACAAUUAUGGGUAGUUCCAGUGAUCCAAGGGCUUUGGCAGUUGCUUGUUUGGAUCUUUCUUAGUUCAUUUUCCUUGUUUAAUUCAAUCCAAGGGUUUAUCAAAUAGGAGGACUGGUGCAACUAGUGUUAACUCUGAGAGUUUGCGGUCACAUACUGUUUUUACCUGUGUUGUUGAACCCCGAUCCAAGGUGUUUGAAGAAGUGGGAUUUCUCUCUUUCUCUUUCAAUUUUACAUAAGGGAAGGGAUAAAAGAAGAUAGAACGAUUAACAAGUAGAAGAAGAUGAAGAUAAAGGUUAGGGAAAGAAGAAGGGACACAAAGAAAUUUAAAGGAAAUGCUUCAAUAAUGGGCUUGAUGGUUACAGCAGGAAAUAGGUAUUUUUUUUAUUUCUUUUUGUGUAACCGACUUGGUGAGCAUAUCAAAGCAUUGCCAGAGGUAUGGAUCUUGACAACUUCGAUUUCUUUUUUUCUUAAUUUCUUCUCUAAUGAAGGGAUACCUAAUAUCUAUGUGUUUUAUUAUGUUGUGAAAUUGGUAAUUCUUAGAUAUAUUAUGCUCUAACUAUCAUAAUAUAUUUUGAUUUUUACUUGUUUGAUUCUGAAAUCAUUCAAUAACCAUUUUUCUCUCAACGUUUUGAAAUCCCCCCAUCACAUAUGACUUAUUUGUCAAGUAAAGAGAUUACAGGAAUAUUGAUUGAGAUAUUAGGAAGCUUCUAUUUUUCUAUCGUGCUUCCAAUUUAGUAUUGACUAAAAAAUUUGCAUGGAGGAUAUUGUGAGCUCUAUUUGAACAAAAAUGUAAUUGAUCACUUCUGCUAGCUUAUGUUGUUGAGUUUUCUUUCUUAGCUUGAACGUUAUUUCAAAAUUUAAAGUUUUAAAACAUGAAUAACAAAAGAAAACGCUAACAAGUAAGAAAAAAAUAGUACACACAUACAUAUCUAUGUGAAUAUAUCAAUCUAAAUUCAUGUAGUUUUGCUUUCAAAUUUUCAAGAAUGAACUGACUCAAUUGAAUUCCAAUUCCAUGAUUGAAUUUGAUUUCUGAAAAAUAUAGGCUAGAAAAGGAGGGGAGCUAGCAUGAAAUGGAAGAACCAUAACAAGAGGAGCACUGGAUUCAUUGAGAAAGUGGCGAGAGACUCCAUGGAUCCCAUUUGUGAAACUCUUGCAAUCGAUAUUAAUGUCGAUCUUGACAAGCAAUGUUAAUCUAUUUAAGUUGAGAGGUUUGGAGUACUUCAUGAAGAUUAAGUUUAAUAUAGUCCUUAAUUUAAUGUUAUUCUUGUGGAAAGUUCCGACAAAAAAGUAAAUGUUGGUUGAAUUUGAGAUUGAUAUGGAAAGAACUGAAUUUUUUACCUGAAAAUUUUGAUGAAAUUGCAUUUCUCUUUCGUGGGAGUCAGAUUCUUCUUUUGAAUCUUUGAAAUUUUCUUGAUUCAUGUUUCUGUAAUGUUGAGUGGGUGUGAAACUAAGUUAGGGGCUGAAAUCUUGGAGGAAUGUUAGGAUGAGAAUUUAGGAAUUAAUUCCUCUUUCUUAGAAGAAUCUGAAUCUAUACAAAGGUCUUUUUCUUUGUUUUCAAUCAUUUGAGAUAAUCUUGAUGGUUCUUUAUGUAAACUCGAGAUUCUCUUUGGAUUUUUUUAAAAUAUAAAAGAAAUAAAAGAAAAUGAAAAUUAAUUAUAUAAUAUUUUUAUAUAAUUAAAGGUCUUAUUAAAAAAAAGAGAGGGAGAAAAGAAAGGAUAAAAAGGGAAGAAAGAGGAAAAGAGAAAAGGCAACUCCUUACCAUUUUCAUCCAAAUUUGAAAGCUUUCUUUUGAGAGAAGAAUUGGAGAGAACCUGAGGAAGAAGAAGAAGAUUUCUUAGUUCUAAGAUUGAGGAAGAAGGGGAAAAACUCAAAGGAAGUUUCAAUCAUGGCAGAUUUUGAUCCACUCUGCACACUUUUUUUUUAUUCGGUUUGAUCUUCUCAAGAAGAACUAAGAGGUGAGGUUUGAAUUUCCUAAAAUUUAAUUCAUUUUUCAACAAUUCUCGUGAAGGAUGUUUGAGUCAAUUUUGUUGUUAAUUGGGUGAUAUUUGACAGAGAAGGCAGAGAAGGUGUUUUCAAUACGAAAUCAGAUAUCCUCUAGUUUUUUUUAUUUAUUUUUCCAAUGUGUAUAUGUUGAGUUAAAAUUGCUAAUUGAUAUGGUUGGAAAGAUUAUUCAAUUUCCUAUAACUUUUAGGAAGAUGUUGAGAGUCAAUUAUGACUAGAAUUGUGUUAAAUUAUAGGGACAAGUUGAAGGUCUGUAGAGUGCGCGAUUUUGGAGUGGUUUUAAUUUGUGGUGUUUCUGUACUUUUCAACUGGGCAUUUGGGUUACAUAUCUUCAAGUAAAUUAUAGAGGACACCAAAAAUGAAGAUUUGGACAUAAAGAACACUCAUUUUGGUUAAGUAUUGAGGGAGUUAUGGUCAUUUGAAGUUUGUGUUAGAAAUCUGAAAAAUGCAGAGAUUUGUUCAAAUAGGAUUUUAUUUAUUAAGCUUUGAUUUCGUGAGUGUCAUCUUUAGUGUGACAUUUAAGUCUAUCUUUAGAAAAUCAGAAUAUUUAGGGUUCUAAUACUCGGUUUGGUUGUUGACAGGCCGAGAAGAAUUAAACUGAGCGUACAGACCAAUGAUCUAGCUCAAGACAGUGAGUGACAAAACCAGUUUUGAAAAUAUUUUCUCUAAUUAUUAUUUAUGAUUAACCACUCUACACGUUUAUUUACGAAGAUAUGAAAAUCAUUUGAAUUCCAUGACUAUUUUCAAGUAUGAGUUUUGAGACUAGAUUUCUUAAUGAAAAUUUAUGUUAGCACGUGAAUAUCGAAUGUUUGGAAAAUAUUUGAACCACAAUGUUUCAGAGUUAGCAAGUUUGUUUUAAGAACUACAGUUUUUCACGAACAAUCUAAGUAAGCUUGAGCUUUACGAAAGUUAAAGAUAGUAGGCAUGUUUUAAUAUUUUCGUAUGAUUCUGAUGUUUUCAUUAAGUACAUAAUUGAGAUGUUGAGCCCAAGGCUAUAUGGUACCAUGUGCACACAAGUUAGAUUCUGUUGUUGACGUUGAGUGUACUCUGUAACAACGAUGUUGUCGUGAGUGCUGGACGGGCCCCGCUAUAACAAAGACGAUGGGAAUGCUAGGCAGACCCCAUUACAUUGUAGAGCUUAUAAACGUUGGUUGUAUUGGGUCUGCCCUAUACAACGUAGAUUUGUCAUGUUAGUUAAAAUGUUUUGAUAUACUUGAUAUGUCUUGCUAUAUUUCAAUGACGUACAUGCUGAGUAUUUGAGAAGGUUAUUCUUACGAUUAUUCGUUUAUAUUUACGACUUGUAUAAAUAGAUUUAUAUGUGUAAAGCUUUCACGUGCUCUUAUCUUUAAAUUUAUAGUUUUAAACGAAGUCACUCACUGAGCUUUAUAGCUUACCCUUCCAAAAUGUUUUACCCAUUUUCCAAGUAGAGAUCAAUUUUUUGGUGCAUGAUAGACUGUCUUAGUCUGUUGAAGCUCCAAUAUCGAUUGCUAGUACAUGGUUAGAGUUGUACGUAGAGUCUGUUGUAUUAUGUUGUAAAUUUCUUUGUACGAUAUAGAUGCUCUACAGUUUGUGUAAGCUCUAGGAGUCGCAGUUGUUUAAACCUUUGUUGGUUAUGUUUUGGUUAAGGUGUCUCUAGGUUUAUUUGCAAAAUCAGUUAUUUCCAGGCUACACUUCAUGUAUGUAUAUGAUUAGUCUAGGUUUCGAUGUGUUGUGUUACAUGUAUAAUAGUUUAUAUACUAGAUUAGCAAGUUUAUCAUGUUCAAGAGUUCACCCUAGAAGAAAUAUGGCCUUUAAUGUCGGUUGUAAAAAAUGGAAACGGAUCUUUAAUGUCGCUUUUUAAAAUGCAGAUGUUUAAUGUCGGUUUUAAACCAACAUCAAAGAUGAAGGAUUAAUGUCGGUUUUAAACCGAUAUUAAAGAUCUGUUUUUUUCAAACCGACAUUAUAGAUAUAUAACAUAAUAAUUUUAAGUUUUUUGGAGUUUCAUAUAUAAAAGUUAUAUUUAAGGUUUAAAACCCCAAAUCACCAUCUCUACUGCCGCUUUCCAUUUCUCUUGCCUUUUCCAUUUCCCUUUCCCUUCCCCUUUCCUUCAUCUGUCGCUUUCCAUUUCUCUUGCCUUUUCCAUUUCCCUUUCCCUUCCCCUUUCCUUCAUCUUCUUCAGUCGAAGGAAGACCCAGCGCCGACACUUCUUCUUGCCAUCGAACAUCCGUUCGCCGGUCGCCGUGUCUCCCAACUGCGCUCAAUCGCCGCCUCGACCCUCCAUCUGUCCAGAGCUAGCAUCAUUGUGAUGCUCUCUGCUUACAUUGCUUACUUGGUCUUUCAACUCUGGACUCAUCGACAACUAUUUGAAGCUGAGGUUAUAGCUUGCAAUUAAAGGGUGAUGGUGGAUCCAUUGUAGCAGGUGAACAAGUUUUAUUUUGGAUCUAUAAUUAAGUGGAGCUUCCAUUGAUCUUGCUACAGGAAACUUUUUUACCCAACAGUAAUAAAGUGAAAUUUUUGCUAUCUUGUUCAAGUUAAGUUUGUUUGCUAUUUUAUUGGAUUGCAAUUGGUUGGAUGAAUCUAUUUUGAUGUAGGGAUAGUUACAAAUAAAGUGAUCAACUCAAUGCAAAAGAAUUUGCAAUUAUAACAAAAUUUAGAUCUAGCUAGCCCUUCUUAGAAUCUAUUAGUAUUAGACCAUAUCCGUAAUAAGAGUUAUGUACUGUUCCUUGAUUGAGUUCUAUAAUGUUCGUUGAUUGAGUUCUAUAAUGUUCGCAAGUCCACUAGUUCUUCGAUCUAGCAACGUUCAUUCAACGAUAAUUUUUUGUUUUGCUCGAGUGAUUUUACCUAUAUGUUUUGGGAUUGUAGUAGAUUGGAAGUUGUGUUCUAAUAGGUAGGUACAGGUAUUAUAUGUUAGAUUUCGAUUUGGGAUGUAAAUUACAUAUGUAGAAAUAUGAUCAAUCACAUUAUUUUUUAGUAUUUUUUCUGAAACUAAUUAUGAUUAGGAAUUUGGAAGAAUUGAACCUUAAGACAGAAUGAUAUUAAUUUCUAUGAUUAGCGAGGAUAAUUAUAGUAGUUUGAUUUCAGCUUUGGUUGAUGGGGACAAGGGAAGAGGGCACACCUUCUAAAACUCUGAAACCUCCCUCUUCAUCCUAGGUGAUAUAAUUGACCUUCCUUCCUUUUGCCUAUUUUCAUUCCCAAGUUGUUGAUAAAUUGAUAUUUUUUUACUUGUUACGCAUAAGAAAUAGCUCCAACACCUUCAUAUCCUGAUUGGUCAAGCUCAGUGCAGGUCUAUCUAUAUGGUUUUUUGAUUUCAUACUAAUUGUUUUUUGGAUUCAUAAACACCUAGAAUAGUAUAGUUCAAACACUUAGAAUAGUAACGAAGAUGUCGAUGAAUACUACUGGCUUAAAGUUUAGCCUCUUCUGUAACUGUAGGCUUAUUAUAGUGUUGGUGCUACUCCACGUCCAUUCUUUGCAUCUACUAUUGCUUCUCCAACUCCCCACCCUUACAUCUGGGGAGGUCAGGAAAUACUGCUUCAGCUGGCGGUAGGAAGAGUGGAAAGGUGGCUUCAAGUUCCGGAAAUGAUGGUGCUUCUCAAAGGGCCUGUUAAUGAGCCUGGUUCUUCGAGUAGGGAACCUAAUGCUAAAGCUUAAACUCAUAACGACCUAGUUUAAGGUAAAAGGAUUGGACAUGAUACAUAACAUAACUGAGACUUGAGAUUAUUCAUAUUAUCUUUGCAUUUAGUUUUAACUUUUAAGAAUAUUUUCUUUUGGGAGAGUAUGACUUCUCUUUACAUUUACUUUUAGGAUGGAUGCAUUUAUUUCACAGCAAUGAGCAGUGGUUUAUUAAUUGAUGAUGAUGUUAGAUAUUGAUUCUGCCCGUUAUUUAGCACACUUUGUCUGUAUUAUUUUUCCUCCCUUAAUUUUGUUUAAUUUAGUUCCAAACCUAAUGAUUUUGAAGGCGAUUUUAGUGAGGGAAUGAAAAGUGAAGUUUUACCACUUACAGUUUCAUUGUUGCACUAUUAUGAUAAAGUAUAUAUAUAUUGAUAUUUCUCACACAACUUAUCAUUCUUGGCUAUGUUUUCUCCCCCUUUCUCAUUCCCAGUUGUUGAUAACCUUGGCUUUUUCCUUUUCAUUUUCAUGUUUUGUAGCUAUUUACCUGAGGCAUACUGGAAAUAUUUUUCAUGUAACAGCCAACAGGAUGCCAUAUUUAUUAUUUAUUCAGAAAGUUCAUUUGUUGUUUAUAGUUUGUUGCCAUAUUUUUCAGUCAGAUUAUGGCAAGGAGGAAAUACCGCUGGCUUUGGUGUGAUGUUUUUUCUUUUAAAGAUUUUUUAAAAAAAUCUUUGUGAUAUGUGGUUUGCUUGCUUUGAACGACCUUUUUUUUCUUAAAUAAGUUGAUUUCUGUUUUUUACAUUUUUGUUUUGUUUGUGAUAUGGGCACUUAGUUACGUAGGUUUCGGUUGCGAGGACUUGCAAUUGUGUAUUUGUAUAUUUUUUUGCUUUAGUAGAGGCGGCUUGACAUUGAGUUUAAGGAAUUUGCUGAGGAACAGAGACAGUGAUGAACAGAGAAAGAGAAUGAUUGAAGUUAUAUCGGGUUGAAAGCUGAGCGAUUGUGUAGAUAGCCAGGCGAUCGUUGAAGGUUGAAGAUUGAAGAUUGAGAAGACGUUUAGAAUUUUUCUUAUUUACGUCUUGUAUUAGGAUCUUUUUUCAUGUACUGUUGUAGAA